ACAGCAGGCCGGUCUGUCGCCCGUUCGCUUGCGGACGGGAGGAAAGUCCGGGCAACACAGAGCGCCAUCCUUCCUACCGGGAAGCUGUUCGCGAGGGCAGAGUAGCGUAACAGAAAAUAACCGCCGCAUUACGGUGCGGUAAGGGUGAAAAGGUGAGGUAAGAGCUUACCGCUUCCGUCGGAAUACGGAGGGUCAAUACGUCUGAUGGGUUGUAAGAUCAUGUAUACCGGCGCAGUAGAAUGGCUCGUUCGAUGCCGGGGGGUAGAUCGCAAGAGCGCGUCGGCGACGGCGCGUCGAGAUAAAUGACAGACACGGCCGUUUCGAUGGCCGUACAGAACCCGGCUUACAGGCCUGCUGUAUUU
rnacentral:RNase_P_RNA from 1 species